GAUGAAGAACGUAGCGAAAUGCGAUAAGUAAUGCGAAUUGCAGAAUUUCCGUGAGUCAUCGAACCUUUGAACGCACAUUGCCCCCCAUGGUAUUCCGUGGGGCAUGCCUGUUCGAGCGUCAUUUACCCCCUCAAGCUCCGCUUGGUGUUGGGCGUCUGUCCCGCUUCGCGCGCGGACUCGCCCCAAAGGUAUUGGCAGCGGUCGUGCCAGCUUCUCGCGCAGCACAUUGCGCUUCUCGAGGCACCGGUGGGCCCGCGUCCAUCAAGCUCACCCCCCCAGUUUGACCUCGGAUCAGGUAGGGAUACCCGCUGAACUUAAGCAUAUCAAUAAGCGGAGGA
rnacentral:misc_RNA from 1 species